rnacentral:pre_miRNA from 1 species
UGAUGAUGAUGACGAUGAUGACGAUGAUGAUGACGAUGAUGACGAUGAUGACAAAUUUACCUUGUCAUGAAAAAUACGGCUGCAAGUGAGCUAAACUAAUUAAAUAAAUCGCAGGCAUCAGUUUUACAAUCCAUCUAGUAGAAUAUUCUAACAUAAACAUCAUCGUCGUCGUCAUCAUCAUCGUCAUCAUCAUUGUCA